UACAGAGGUGGCAAGCGUUGUUCGGAAUUACUGGGCGUAAAGGGCGCGUAGGCGGCCCGUCAAGUCCCGUGUGAAAGCCCCCGGCUCAACCGGGGAACGGCGCGGGAAACUAGCAGGCUUGAGUUCGGGAGAGGGAAGCGGAAUUCCGGGUGUAGCGGUGAAAUGCGCAGAUAUCCGGAGGAACACCGGUGGCGAAGGCGGCUUCCUGGACCGACACUGACGCUGAGGCGCGAAAGCUAGGAGAGCAAACGGG
rnacentral:rRNA from 1 species